rnacentral:lncRNA from 1 species
UCUCGGGUCAAACUGCACCCGAGCUGCUGCCAGCCCAGAGAUCUGUGCCCCACUGAUACCCCUGUACCCCUCGGGCCACUGAGCACGAGCUUCUCCCUCCCAGCCACGGAGUCCAGGAAGGGAAGAGGCAAAUUCUGCUUGCAAGAACAUCCCAUGGCAACGUUUUGGCGUGAGGUUCUGGUCCCAGCCGUCACAGUCAGACUGGACAUCCAACACCUCCAGUGCUCAUCCCCCUGGGGAGCCCAGGGGCACAUCCUUCCUCCAGGUGUUCCCAAGCCCUCCCUGCAGCCACAGGUAACACAGUAGGCAAAAUGCUGGUUUUCUGAGGAAAAAAAUCACACAAAACUGCUUGGUACCAGAUUAGAGGAUUUCUGUAUCAUCCUUCAGAGAUUUAUUUGACAGCUUCUAAAACUUCCACUAAACUUGGUUUCUUACAUCAUUUCUAUACACAGGUUCUGUUAUAAUUGUCUUGAAGCUUAUAAAAAAAUAAGCAUUUAAAAUGCCCAAAAGAGUAAUUUUGCUUUAAAAUUGUGCUACUGAACUUGACCCCCAACACAGAAGAGAGACUUUUGGUAAUGAGGUUACCCCAAGCAGUAUAAAAAUAUACAUAAAAAUAGACAAAAACUCUUAUCCUCCAAUCUGAAGGGCUGUUUGUGGGGAUUAUUAGUUAUUACUUUCUUUUUGUACAUCACUGUAAUUUCAUUAACUUCUGCUAAAUAUUUACAGAACCCCUCCACCCCCACCCUUUGUCUGCCUCUGCUUGCAGAGACAGAGACUUGCAGCUUUUAGUUCAUCCAGAGUUUUCUGUUGGCAAAAAUGGAUCCCUGUGUUUGGCCAUGGCACACAAGCGAUGCUGCGGGCACAGGGGUCCCUGGGGAUGCCACGUGGGGAUGGAGUGACACCAGCUGCUGUCACCUCCCCGAGAGGAGCU